rnacentral:lncRNA from 1 species
GUUGUUGUUGUUAUUAUUAUUUUACAGAGACUCUUAUGAUCUUAUGAGAGUUCUGGAUACCUUUCAAUCUAGAGCUAUGUAGCUAGUGAUGACCAUGAACUGCAGAUCUUCCUGUUUCGUCCUUCCAAGUGCUGGGAUGACAGAUGUCUGACAGCACACCUAGUUGAUAUGAUGCUGGAGACUGAACCAAAGACUUUCAACACAGGCCGACAUGCUAAGCACUUUCCAUCUUGAUGACAUUACUGCUGGCAAUGCUACCGUACAGUACAGCUCAUUAUAAAUCACAGCAGAAGAUCAGAAAGCACUAUCAUCAACUCAUAAAGAAAACAACUGAGGG